rnacentral:lncRNA from 1 species
UCGUUGAUCGCAUGAGCAAGAGUUGGGUACUUGUGCAAGGUCACAGUUACUCAGUAGGAAAGUCGUCAAUCUCCACGUCUGGGACUGUGGAUCUGGUUCAGUGAAGUGUUUCCACUGCGUGCGUGGGGCGCAAGGCCAAAGAAGACCAGAGAGACUUGACCAAGUGCUGACAUGGACCAGCCGUCCAGCGCAGUGAGAACCGUGAACAUUACUGUGACAAAUGGAUAUGACUUGGUACAUUGACUCUUGGAAACCCAGAGGGGGCAAGAUGGGAGUUUUUGUGUGAUUUUUUUUCUCCCUCUAAGCAGAGGUGCUGUGUGUUUGUAGUCUGUAUUCAGCAAGUCACCAUGUCACGUGUCUAAUACCUGGCCUUUUGAAUUAAAUUUGACAGGGUUUAAACAAA